GGGUGGCGCCUCCGGAAAAUGGCGGAAUUCCCUUCGGACUGAAGGGAACCCGCUGCACGGAGGCUUGGGUCCUGCCGCUACGGCGCAGCGGGGACCCGCUAAAACCACAGGCGGAAGAAGCCUGUGGACGUGGGACUCGGCGGGCACCGAGAGCGCUCUCUCCCCUUGUACAGGAGCCCGGUAACGGGCUCCGGAGUGGGAGGUGCGUGGUGCUGUGAGUCGACUGCUUCCUCCGUGCAGCAAAGCCGCACUGCCGUUAUCGGAGAGCGCUGCCCUUUUCCUGGACAAUUUGGCAUCUAAAAUAUCUAUCCGUGAGUACCUGAUCUUGGAAGAGUUGAACCACUUUUAAGACUGGUGAAUAAACAAAUAAUAUUGGACUUGAAAUUGAACUUAAUUGGGACUCGGAAUGGGAAGGUCUAAACAGGAAGUCGCCUUCCGUUCUUUUGUUAUGUGAAGAAAGCAAAGACAAAAUAUACUAAAGCUUGAAAAUUAAAUUCUAAGAGAACUAGAAUUCAACAUCUAAGAUUUCUGAACCCCCUUUGACUGCAGGAGAAGAAGGGGGUUGUAUUUGGACUUUUCAAUCCUGCGGAAGUGAGUUUAAAAUAAAGCAAUUUUCCACCGCCCUGAACCAGGAGCGGGCUGUCAGAAUUGACGUUCUGAAGUUUAUCCAGCUCGACAGUUAGUUAAAAGAAGGGUAACAUUUUGAUUCUACUGUUGCCUCUUGAAUUUGGAAGGGGGAAUUUUGGAUAAAGUGUUUCUGGAAAAAGAAAGAUUGUUGCUGUUGCUUUUAUUCCUUUAAAAAAAAAAAAAAUUCCAUCUAGUGGAAUUUAGUGAAAUUGCAACGCAGAGAGAUUAAAAGAGAAGGACUAUUGGACUAUUGUCGUGGGAAAGAAUUUUCUUUGACCUUGAAGGACAAUGCUAGUACAAAGGCUUGAACAAUUGUUCCUGGAAGGUUUUUCAAAACUAAGUGCCCAGCUGGACCAGAUGCGUCAGGAGACGACCUUGAUGAUGGAAGUUACCAGAGCACAGCAGCAAACAAAUGAAAUUCAGUUAAAGGCUAUACAAGCAUAUGAACCUGCUGUAGUGACGGAGGCUUCAGAGAUGGAGGGACCUUUGGACGGGCAAGAUCAGCCUUUGAACUUGAUAAAUGAACUUGGGACAAACCAGAUUCGGAAAGAUGAAAUGUGGUCAGAUUUGGAAAUGGGGGAUGGAUCGACCCCCUCCAUAUGGUUAUUUGGACCUUCCGAGUCUGGUGAUGGGCUAUCAGAGGAUUGGAGUAGCCGAAGUCUCCAAGCUUUGUGGAAAUUUGAAGUGGUAUUAUUUGCUGUCUGGCUUGGGCAAUGGGUUUGGGAUGGACUUGCUGCAAAGGGUCAAAAGCAUUUUCUUGCUGGAGCAUCCACGACUGGAAAGGAAUCAUCAACAAGAGUGGCGAAAGGGGCAAGAAAGAGACUUGAGGGCCUCGGAUACGAGACAACCAGGUUAAGGAGCCGGAUUAUCGAGGUUAAAAGGACUGACAAUCCCGGGUCCAGGGGAGGGGAGGUUGGAAGCUGACUGGACUGAAUUUGACUUAUUAUUUUUUCUUUUUUAUUUUUAAUAUUGGGAAUGCUUACAAAUGUUUGAAGGAUGUUGAAUGAAAUUACAUGGCUUAAGUAAGGAUUGGUAAAUGAUUCGUAAAAAGGUAAUGAUGCAAGAAUUUGGUAAAUAUUGAAUAUAAGCUAUGAGUCUUAAAGUUUUUAUAUGACAAGAGGGAAAAUAGAAUAAGGAAACGUAAUGACAGAUUGUUAUGAAAAACAGAAAGGAUUUGCUGUAAAAAUUAAAAAUUAAGAAACAAAAGAGGGGAGGAGGAGGAAGUCUAGAAAGGAAGUCAAUAGAGAUUGUAAAGGACUUUAUAUUUUUGUUUUUCUGUUUCUCUUUUUUUUCUUUGCGGCUGGGUUUUCUUUUCUUUUUUGUUUAUGUACUAUUUUUGUUUUUUGUAUCCUCAAAUUUUUUUUGGAAAUUUUUGUUGUUAUUCUUUGAAAACUUAAUAAAUAUCAAUUAU